rnacentral:rRNA from 1 species
GAUGAACGCUAGCUACAGGCUUAACACAUGCAAGUCGAGGGGAAACGACAUCGAAAGCUUGCUUUUGAUGGGCGUCGACCGGCGCACGGGUGAGUAACGCGUAUCCAACCUGCCCACCACUUGGGGAUAACCUUGCGAAAGUAAGACUAAUACCCAAUGAUAUCUCUAGAAGACAUCUGAAGGAGAUUAAAGAUUUAUCGGCGAUGGAUGGGGAUGCGUCUGAUUAGCUUGUUGGCGGGGUAACGGCCCACAAAGGCGACGAUCAGUAGGGGUUCGGAGAGGAAGGUCCCCCACAUUGGAACUGAGACACGGUCCAAACUCCUACGGGAGGCAGCAGUGAGGAAUAUUGGUCAAUGGGCGAGAGCCUGAACCAGCCAAGUAGCGUGCAGGAUGACGGCCCUAUGGGUUGUAAACUGCUUUUAUAAGGGAAUAAAGUGAGUCUCGUGAGACUUUUUGCAUGUACCUUAUGAAUAAGGACCGGCUAAUUCCGUGCCAGCAGCCGCCGUAA